rnacentral:rRNA from 1 species
UACGUAGGUGACUAGCGUUGUCCGGAUUUACUGGGCGUAAAGAGCGCGCAGGCGGUCGUGCAAGUCGCGUGUGAAAGCCCCCGGCUCAACUGGGGAGGGUCACGCGAUACUGAUCGACUCGAAGGCAGGAGAGGGUAGUGGAAUUCCCGGUGUAGUGGUGAAAUGCGUAGAUAUCGGGAGGAACACCAGUGGCGAAGGCGACUACCUGGCCUGUUCUUGACGCUGAGGCGCGAAAGCUAGGGGAGCAAACGGG